GGAUUCUUGAGUAGCCUUUGGAACAGAAUAGGCAUAGUCCUUGUUCUCAAGUGUUUGAGGAGAGAAGAGCAUGGUGAUUUUGAAGUUAGGUUUCUCCCAAUUUAGGGCCACAGAAAUGUUGCCCUUUGCAAUAACAGCACCUGUGCCUGAAAUGAUCUCAACUGCAUGGAUCCAAUUAUUUGAAAAUUGUGAUAACUCACAGGCACAUCUCAGCACUCUUCCCUUUCUUUGGCAAAAGGUUAGAAAGCUGACCAGGGGAAGAGGAGCCCAGACUCUGGGCUUCCUUGAGGUGCAUUCAGUGGAAAGAGAAAAGCAGCCUCCAGGGGACCUCAAGGAGCAGCCCUGAGCAUUUCUUCCUAGACACUGUCUAGAUAUCAUAAAGAAUACAGUGAAUGCUGCUGCUGAAUGCCACCCAAUGGACGAGCAGGCUCAUCGAAACAUUAGUGUGUCCCCAUCCUCCUUGUUUACUGGAUCUGGCACCAGGAGACUUUGGGCUGUUCCCGAAGUCAAAAGGACAAUGAAAGAAAUAUGGUGAAGACCAGAGAAAAUGUGUGCAGAGAAGGCAGUGCGGGACCUGGAAACAGAAGAUUCUCAGUGAUCAGUGGCACAGUGAACUCUGUUUCGUGUGGAGCUAUUCCUUGUAUUUCAGUUCUAGUGGUUUCAAUCAAAAAUAACAACUGCCCAUUAUUUGAACAUGUGCUCUGCUUUCAUGCUUUACACACAUCAUCUCUACUCUUGACAGUAAUAAUUCAAGGAGAAUUAUGAAAGACAUACAAUUGUUUUGAAUUUCAAACCAAUUUACCUGUGUAACUAAAGAAGUGGUAAGAUGCUCAGUAGGAAAAAGUGGAAACUGACCCAGUGAAUGCCAGAACAGAGAGUGGAUCCAAUUACAGCUCUCCCUGGGACACAGAGCCCAGGACUGUUUUUCAAAUGAUCAAGUUUUUGAGAAGUUUGACCCUUCCUCUAACAGCCUGGUGGCCUCUUAUCUUAACCUGGAAAAAUCCCUCCAGGGUAUCACAGUUAAAAGCAACUUUCUCCUGGGCCGGGGAUUUAGCUUAGCGGCGCUGCACCUGGCUGGCAAGCAAAGGGCCCUGAGUUUGAUUCCCGGUACCAAAAAGAAAAAAACAAAAACUGUCAACAAAACCAAGUUUGUCCCAUUUGUGAGGUGUCAAUAUCAUGUCUGUGGUCAGCAAGUGGAAUUGAAGCAAAACUAAAUUUAAAAAAAAUUCCUCCCACAUAUUUAGAUUAAGUAUUUGCAUUAUCUCCGUCCUUUAACAUUUGUUCUAUAGCUGCCUCUUGCCAAGAGCUUGGUGGGUGAGUCCAGGCCUUUGUGCUCAGGGCAGCAAGAAUGAUGAGUGUCACACGGUGAGACUUGCAGAGCCCCAGACGCUUUCCCAGCACCCGGUGUGUGUCUGCAUGGGACACUGGGCGUACAAAAGUGAGGAGCAGGCUACCCGACCCUUACAGGCUUGCAGUCUGAGCAACAUAGAGUGAGAGAGAUAUAAUGCAGCCACAUGUAUAUGUAAUUUAAUUUUUUUCUAGCAGCCACAUAAAAACGAAACAGGGAACUUCCAUUUCAAAUGGAAAGGAGAAUAAGAAAUGGAGGGAGGGUGAAGGGAGGGCAGGGAAAGGGGAUGAAAAGAGAGAGAGAGAGAAUUGAAGAAAAAAGUGGAAAUAGAGCUUUUGUAAAUGCAAAGGGACCAAGAGUUGGAAGGAGCAGGGAGGGAUGGAAGGGGCAGGGACAAGAAAGGAAUGAAGAUAUAUUGUGUACAUGUACCAACUCCCCAUGAUAAAUGUACUUUUCUUUUUUUUUUUU
ensembl:lncRNA